rnacentral:rRNA from 1 species
GAUGAACGCUGGCGGCGUGCCUAAUACAUGCAAGUCGAGCGAACGGACGAGAAGCUUGCUUCUCUGAUGUUAGCGGCGGACGGGUGAGUAACACGUGGAUAACCUACCUAUAAGACUGGGAUAACUUCGGGAAACCGGAGCUAAUACCGGAUGAUAUUUUGAACCGCAUGGUUCAAAAGUGAAAGACGGUCUUGCUGUCACUUAUAGAUGGAUCCGCGCUGCAUUAGCUAGUUGGUAAGGUAACGGCUUACCAAGGCAACGAUGCAUAGCCGACCUGAGAGGGUGAUCGGCCACACUGGAACUGAGACACGGUCCAGACUCCUACGGGAGGCAGCAGUAGGGAAUCUUCCGCAAAGGGCGAAAGCCUGACGGAGCAACGCCGCGUGGGUGAUGAAGGUCUUCGGAUCGUAAAACUCUGUUAUUAGGGAAGAACAUAUGUGUAAGUAACUGUGCACAUCUUGACGGUACCUAAUCAGAAAGCCACGGCUAACUACGUG